AUUCCUGUGAAAUAAUAUAAAAACCUAAAGGCAAAAAAAAAUAGGAACAAGGAAUUUGAAGAUAGUACCUCUGAAGCUUUGGGGAUAAGCCUAUUUCAAGGAGCAAAGGCUGCUGAUGCUCCCUCACCCAACUAAUGACUGCCUGGCCAAGAAAUAUUCACCAGGGACCUUCUCAGUGUUGAAGAGUCCCUUUGCAGAUAGGAAAAGUUGCCUGAAGAGAUGAGAAGCAUCUAGAGACAGGGGUCUUUAUCCUGGAUGAUGCAAAUCAUGGUGCAGGUCUUUUAUAUUCUUUGGCCUGGAAACUAGAGUUGUGAAAGCAAAAUAACUGAAGCUGAACAAGAUU